GACGAACGCUGGCGGCGUGCUUAACACAUGCCAGUCGAACGGAAGGGCCCUGCUUUUGUGGGUUGCUCGAGUGGCGAACGGGUGAGUAACACGUGAGUAACCUGCCCUUGACUUUGGGAUAACUUCAGGAAACUGGGGCUAAUACCGGAUAGGAGCUCCUGCUGCAUGGUGGGGGUUGGAAAGUUUCGGCGGUUGGGGAUGGACUCGCGGCUUAUCAGCUUGUUGGUGGGGUAGUGGCUUACCAAGGCUUUGACGGGUAGCCGGCCUGAGAGGGUGACCGGCCACAUUGGGACUGAGAUACGGCCCAGACUCCUACGGGAGGCAGCAGUGGAGAAUAUUGCACAAUGGGCGGAAGCCUGAUGCAGCAACGCCGCGUGCGGGAUGACGGCCUUCGGGUUGUAAACCGCUUUCGCCUGUGACGAAGCGUGAGUGACGGUAAUGGGUAAAGAAGCACCGGCUAACUACGUG
rnacentral:rRNA from 1 species